GCGCGUCAGCGUGGGCUCCCCGGAGCGAGUCGCUAGCCCAUCCGGGCCUGCGGACCCCGGCUCGAACACCGCCCCCUCCCAGGAUGCCUUAACCCACGCAGCUCGCCGCCGCUGAGGUGCCCCUCCCUUGCAGGGACCCCGACGCCGCCACCCCAGCCGGCGGCGGCCAGCGGAUCGGCGCUGCCCGGGAGAAUGAGGCAGGAGCCGGCGGCAGCCUCCUCUUUUUCCUUCUCCUCCUCCUCUUCGCCUUUCUCCGGCUCCGGCGCCCGGGGCCCGGGCCGGACUGUGGCUCUGCUGCGUGCCCCGCGCGCCCCCCGCCCGCCUCCGGAUGCGCUGCUCGGUUAGCCUGGGGAGGAAGAUAAAGACAUUUGCCACCAAGAUGGUAAUCACGAGUGGAAACGAUGAAGACAGAGGAGGCCAAGAAAAAGAGAGCAAAGAGGAGAGUGUCUUGGCGAUGCUGGGGAUUAUUGGGACCAUUCUGAACCUCAUUGUCAUCAUAUUUGUAUACAUAUACACCACGCUGUGAACGCCCAGUGGGUCCUCAGGCCUCCGCAUGGCCGGAAGACGGGAGUCCUGUAUGUCGGCAGAUGAGUGACCGGACGCUGCGCCCACAAGCAGCCUUGACCUCCUCACACCGCUCCAUCAGAUGCACCUUCGAACUUGCUCAAGGGUCACCAAAAUAAACGGAUCCUUCUGCUAGGAGCAGACACUAAAGCACAAUGAAUCCAACAAAACUCACUCGCCCAGCAAGGGAGUCAGCGGCGUCAGCAGGGGACCCGAAAGAGCGCUGGGAAGCCCAGCCUUUGAUGCCAUCAGGGAGCAGAUGGGUGCAGAGGCUUAUUGUCCCAGAACCCUGACAGGUGUCUUGGAUUCCAAAAGAGGAACGGGGCGGACGCAGCUCAGGGCGCGUCUCCCAGGGCACGCGUGUCCUCCUAACGCCAUGAGCUGUUUAGUACAAAAAAAACCGCAGGGACAAUCCUUUGACAAGCAUCCCAUUCAUCAAAAGUGUCUGACUAUUUGAUACCGGGGAGAUAACUUAUUUUUCUUUUUUCAUUGGCUUGAUGUGUGUAUCUGUUCAUAUCAAGGUUUAUAAAUAUAUAUUUUUAAUAAAUGUGCUCUAUUUUUUAGCAUGAACCAAAUACUUGGAGAGGCGCUCCUGGAUCCAUAGAGCUUUCCUUGGUUUAAGCUGCUUCAGCCCCUAGACUGCAGAUGUUCUGUUGUGCAUUCACUCUCGUCCUAACUCUCUCAUCUUGAAUCCUUUGCCGACUCUCUCCCUCUCGCUCUUUUCAGUCUGGAGGACGUUUUCUUCCCCCGUGAUACCAGCCGUGACCUUGGUUGGUGCAUGUUCUAAGAUUGUCCGUUGAGCGGCUUUUUGUUGUUAUAUCGGAGGUGUCGAGCGAUCGCAGGCAUGUGGACCUCGGAUGCACUGUUUCCUUACUGAGAAUGAUGCAUGAACAAGGGCUGAGUGAUAGAUCAGCUUAAAUUUUUUUUUUUACAAGAGGACUGUGGAGGAAGAGUGCAACUACAUUGGCAGAUCACCUCUAGGACAGAGCAUAAAGCUUCUUAUUGGCAGCAUCGUGGUCUCCUUCUUGUGACGGGUCAUUGAUCAGGUUUGAUAUUGAUCAGAUUUGAAUCGAAUGGCCACAUAACCAUGAGAAGGAUGGGAAGGAGAAGGGUGAAAGCUCAGCCUUAGGUGCAUAAUUCCUUCCUUAGUGAGCUGCCUGGGGUCCUUUUCAAGGCAGGCGGGGUGUGAAUGGCACAGGAACUCCCGUCAGGCUUUCAGGACGCCCCUGUGACAGGCGACUUUUAAGGGCACCAGAAGGGGACGCAGCAAUCCCCCUAAAGGAUUGCUGCAUUUCUUAAAGCUUCUGGUUUACACCCACAUGAAGCUUCUUCCUCCCUGGCAGGAACAGUUGAAUAGAUAGGAAUUUCCCCCCAUUCUCCUGGCUCCCUGAGGUGGGCCUUUGACUGGCUGCGGCGGCAGGGCCUUAAAAAGAGGGUUAGAAUUCCUUCUGCCAGUGCCAGCCUUGCCGUGGCAAAAGAAGCAGUGAUCUGCCUAGUUGGAUUCAAAUGAUGCCCAGGAGGUCUUCCUCCCAUCAGAUCUCUCCCUCCUGAUGUGGUGGUGUCUGAAUCCACCAUUAGAGAGUCAUUUCUUAGGCUCUGCCAAGGGCCCAGGCUCUUUUAUAAGGCAAAUGCCCUGAACACCUGGCUCUCAUCAGGUGUCUUCUCUUCCCCACUAGAAGAAAGGAAGUUGAUGGGCAUUCAGGGCAUGCUGUAUGUCAGGCGCUGUGCCAGACACUGUAUUCCUUAAGUCAUUGAAUUCUCACGAUAGGUGCGAGAGGGAAUCUUUGCCCCAUUUCUGGAAGAAGAAAGGAGGUCUCCGAAAGAUCAGGAAAUUUCCCUGAGAGCAGGUGGCUACCGGUGGUGAGUCAGGAUGCAAACGUCCAAUCUGUCUGAUUCCCUGGCCCUGCGAAGGUUGGCCGAAUGCUGGCAAAAGAGGGACUGGACCCAGGAAGGGGCCCUCAGGGGUCAGAUGCAAACAGAUGGCUUUGCUGAGGGCCAGCUCUGCACCCCCCCCCAUAAAAUAACUGCUCCUGGAAACUCCUUGCACCCUGGCAGAAGGCCAUACAUGUAAAGGUGAAAAACAAGAGGAGGCUGCUUAGAAGAAUAAUGGACUGUCGGGGGA
rnacentral:lncRNA from 1 species